GACGAACGUUGGCGGUGCGCUUAAUGCAUGCAAGUCGAGGGAGAACCAGUCGUUCCGCAAGGACCGGCUGGGGAAACCGGCGAACGGGUGCGUAACACGUGAGGAACCUGCCCCGAAGACCGGGAUAGCCCGAGGAAACUCGGAUUAAUACCGGAUACCCUCUACAGACCGCAUGGUCUGUUGAGGAAAUGGUCCGCUGCUUCGGGAUGGCCUCGCGGCCUAUCAGCUUGUUGGUGAGGUAAUGGCUCACCAAGGCAAAGACGGGUAGCUGGUCUGAGAGGACGAUCAGCCACACUGGGACUGAGACACGGCCCAGACUCCUACGGGAGGCAGCAGCAGGGAAUAUUGCACAAUGGGCGAAAGCCUGAUGCAGCGACACCGCGUGCGGGAUGAAGGCCUUCGGGUUGU
rnacentral:rRNA from 1 species